rnacentral:rRNA from 1 species
CCUACGUGCGGCAGCAGUGGGGAAUAUUGCACAAUGGGGGAAACCCUGAUGCAGCGACGCCGCGUGAGUGAAGAAGUAAUUCGUUAUGUAAAGCUCUAUCAGCAGGGAAGAAAAUGACGGUACCUGAGUAAGAAGCCCCGGCUAACUACGUGCCAGCAGCCGCGGUAAUACGUAGGGGGCAAGCGUUAUCCGGAUUUACUGGGUGUAAAGGGGGCGUAGACGGCAGUGCAAGUCUGGAGUGAAAGGGGGGGGCUCAACCCCCGGACUGCUCUGGAAACUGUACGGCUGGAGUGCAGGAGAGGUAAGUGGAAUUCCUAGUGUAGCGGUGAAAUGCGUAGAUAUUAGGAGGAACACCAGUGGCGAAGGCGGCUUACUGGACUGUAACUGACGUUGAGGCUCGAAAGCGUGGGGAGCAAACAGGAUUAGAUACCCCUGUAGUC